CACACCGCCCGUCACACCAUGGGAGUUGGUUCUACCUGAAGACGGUGCGCUGACCGCAAGGAGGCAGCCGGCCACGGUAGGGUCAGCGACUGGGGUG
rnacentral:rRNA from 1 species